GGUUAUAGCUCAGUGGUAGAGUGCCCGCCUAGCACAUGUGAGGCACUGGAUUCAAUCCUCAGCACCA
rnacentral:tRNA from 1 species